GACGAACGCUGGCGGCGUGCUUAACACAUGCAAGUCGAACGGAAAGGCCCCCUUGUGGGGUACUCGAGUGGCGAACGGGUGAGUAACACGUGAGUAACCUACCCUUGACUUUGGGAUAACUUCAGGAAACUGGGGCUAAUACCGGAUAGGAGCUCCUGCUGCAUGGUGGGGGUUGGAAAGUUUCGGCGGUUGGGGAUGGACUCGCGGCUUAUCAGCUUGUUGGUGGGGUAGUGGCUCACCAAGGCUUUGACGGGUAGCCGGCCUGAGAGGGUGACCGGCCACAUUGGGACUGAGAUACGGCCCAGACUCCUACGGGAGGCAGCAAUGGGGAAUAUUGCACAAUGGGCGGAAGCCUGAUGCAGCAACGCCGCGUGCGGGAUGACGGCCUUCGGGUUGUAAACCGCUUUCGCCUGUGACGAAGCGUGAGUGACGGUAAUGGGUAAAGAAGCACCGGCUAACUACGUG
rnacentral:rRNA from 1 species